CAGUAGCCGCGGUAAUACGAAGGGUGCAAGCGUUAAUCGGAAUUACUGGGCGUAAAGCGUGCGUAGGCGGUUUGUUAAGUCUGUUGUGAAAUCCCCGGGCUCAACCUGGGAACUGCAUCUGUGACUGCAUAGCUAGAGUACGGUAGAGGGGGAUGGAAUUCCGCGUGUAGCAGUGAAAUGCGUAGAUAUGCGGAGGAACACCGAUGGCGAAGGCGGAUCUCUGGGCCAUUACUGACGCUGAGGAGCGAAAGCGUGGGGAGCGAACAGGAUUAGAUACCCCAGUAGUCCCUGUCUCUUAUAC
rnacentral:rRNA from 1 species